GGAGUCUGGGCCGUGUCUCAGUCCCAAUGUGGCCGUUCAACCUCUCAGUCCGGCUACUGAUCGUCGACUUGGUGGGCCGUUACCUCACCAACUAUCUAAUCAGACGCGAGCCCAUCUCUGAGCGAUAAAUCUUUGAUAGCCAAAAGAUGCCAUUCAGCUAUGUUAUGAGGUAUUACCAUCCGUUUCCAGAAGCUAUCCCUCUCUCAGAGGCAGGUUGCUCACGUGUUACUCACCCGUCCGCCACUAAGAAUAAAGACGAAUCCUUAUUCUCCGUUCGACUUGCAUGUGUUAAGCGUGCCGCCAGCGUCGUCUCGAGCCACGGAUCAAACUACU
rnacentral:rRNA from 1 species